rnacentral:rRNA from 1 species
GAUGAACGCUGGCGGCGUGCCUAAUACAUGCAAGUCGAGCGAACGGACGAGAAGCUUGCUUCUCUGAUGUUAGCGGCGGACGGGUGAGUAACACGUGGAUAACCUACCUAUAAGACUGGGAUAACUUCGGGAAACCGGAGCUAAUACCGGAUAAUAUUUUGAACCGCAUGGUUCAAAAGUGAAAGACGGUCUUGCUGUCACUUAUAGAUGGAUCCGCGCUGCAUUAGCUAGUUGGUAAGGUAACGGCUUACCAAGGCAACGAUGGAUAGCCGACCUGAGAGAGGGAUCGGCCACACGGGAACUGAGACACGGUCCAGACUCCUACGGGAGGCAGCAGUAGGGAAUCGUCCGCAAUGGGCGAAAGCCUGACGGAGCAACGCCGCGUGAGUGAUGAAGGUCUUCGGAUCGUAAAACUCUGUUAUUAGGGAAGAACAUAUGUGUAAGUAACUGUGCACAUCUUGACGGUACCUAAUCAGAAAGCCACGGCUAACUACGUG